AGAACGAACGCUGGCGGCAUGCCUAAUACAUGCAAGUCGAACGAACACUUCGGUGUUAGUGGCGCACGGGUGCGUAACGCGUGGGAAUCUGCCCUUGGGUUCGGAAUAACAGUUGGAAACGACUGCUAAUACCGGAUGAUAUCGAAAGAUCAAAGAUUUAUCGCCCAGGGAUGAGCCCGCGUAGGAUUAGCUAGUUGGUGAGGUAAAGGCUCACCAAGGCGACGAUCCUUAGCUGGUCUGAGAGGAUGAUCAGCCACACGUGGGACUGAGACACGGCCCAGACUCCGUACGGGAGGCAGCAGGUAGGGAAUAGUUGGACAAGUGGGCGCAAGCCUGACUCCAGCAAUGACCGCGUCGAGUGAUGAAGGUCCUUAGGGUUGUAAGUCGUUACUUUACCGAGUAUGAUAA
rnacentral:rRNA from 1 species